rnacentral:rRNA from 1 species
GUCGGUAAGGUGAUAUGAACCGUUAUAACCGGCGAUGUCCGAAUGGGGAAACCCAGUGCAAUUCGUUGCACUAUCGUUAACUGAAUACAUAGGUUAACGAGGCGAACCGGGGGAACUGAAACAUCUAAGUACCCCGAGGAAAAGAAAUCAACCGAGAUUCCCCCAGUAGCGGCGAGCGAACGGGGAGCAGCCCAGAGUCUGAAUCAGCUUGUGUGUUAGUGGAACGGUCUGGAAAGUCCGACGGUACAGGGUGAUAGUCCCGUACACCAAAAUGCACAGGUUGUGAACUCGAAGAGUAGGGCGGGACACGUGGUAUCCUGUCUGAAUAUGGGGGGACCAUCCUCCAAGGCUAAAUACUCCUGACUGACCGAUAGUGAACCAGUACCGUGAGGGAAAGGCGAAAAGAACCCCGGCGAGGGGAGUGAAAAAGAACCUGAAACCGUGUACGUACAAGCAGUGGGAGCACCUUCGGGUGUGACUGCGUACCUUUUGUAUAAUGGGUCAGCGACUUAUAUUCUGUAGCAAGGUUAACCGUAUAGGGGAGCCGCAGGGAAACCGAGUCUUAACUGGGCGUUAAGUUGCAGGGUAUAGACCCGAAACCCGGUGAUCUAGCCAUGGGCAGGUUGAAGGUUGGGUAACACUAACUGGAGGACCGAACCGACUAAUGUUGAAAAAUUAGCGGAUGACUUGUGGCUGGGGGUGAAAGGCCAAUCAAACCGGGAGAUAGCUGGUUCUCCCCGAAAGCUAUUUAGGUAGCGCCUCGUGAAUUCAUCUUCGGGGGUAGAGCACUGUUUCGGCUAGGGGGUCAUCCCGACUUACCAACCCGAUGCAAACUACGAAUACCGAAGAAUGUUAUCACGGGAGACACACGGCGGGUGCUAACGUCCGUCGUGAAGAGGGAAACAACCCAGACCGCCAGCUAAGGUCCCAAAGUCAUGGUUAAGUGGGAAACGAUGUGGGAAGGCACAGACAGCCAGGAUGUUGGCUUAGAAGCAGCCAUCAUUUAAAGAAAGCGUAAUAGCUCACUGGUC